CGCCGGCUAUCGUGAAAUUGCUGUAAAGAAACUGGCCGGAUGUGGCGUCAGCAAAGACAGAGGGUAAAGUGCGAGCGGGCAAGUGUGGGCGCAAUGGCUGCAGUGGAUUGCAUUCUGAAAUUAGGAGGUAGUGCAUUGACGCAGAAAAGCCAGCUGGAGACGCUGAAAACGGAGUCCUUGCGGAGGGCGGCUAUUCUUGUUUCGAAGCUCUGGGAGGCCGGAGAAAGACGUUGCAUAAUCGUGCACGGCGCAGGGUGCACUUUCCGAGUUCUAAAAAUCUCGUCAAUGGAGAAGAGGAGGAAAGUCACUCCGGUACUAUUGAGACAGCAGGAGAAGAACUGCUGAAAAUUAGGCAACGGCAUGAAGAUUUUGUCAGGCACAAUGGAUCCAAGGCCCAGAAGAAAUAGCUCCAUGCCCAGAUAUGUUGAAACCUGAUCAAGAAGUAAAGACAGUUUGGUUUAUCCAAAGUGCAUCAUUGAGAUUGUCCUUGACAAUGGAAAAUACUCUGAAAUUAAUUAAGAAUCAUUACAUACCUUUAAAUAAAUAUCUUUCUGACAUCCUGGAAGACUUGGUCAAGAGACAGAGACUGAAUCCUGGUAAGAUUGGUGGAUGGCAACUUCCAGAUUUGGGAAAUAGGUCCUUUGGGCAUUUCCAAGCAAAAGAAUAUGGUGUUGCAUUGGGGACAUCAGGAAGGUCAGCUGCAAGUGACAAUUUGAGACAAGGGCUGUGUUUGACUAGGCUUUCUGUCACCAAGUUGAACCAUUUGGUGAUAGAACAAUUGAUUAGUGUUGGAGUUCCAGCAGUGGGGAUUUCGGUUUUUGGAAUCUGGAAAACAACAAACAAGAAUAUCACUGAGGCUGGUAUUGAUGCUGUGAAGGACAUUUUAGAUGCAGGUUAUAUCCCUGUAUUACAUGGAGAUUGUGCCCUGGACUUGGAACAACACUGUUGUAUCUUAUCUGGAGAUACAAUUAUUGAGGUUUUAGCUAAGACAUUCUGUCCUAGGCGAGUUGUAUUUCUCACAGAUGUGAAUGGAAUUUACAGUUGUCCACCUGAUACCUCAGGUGCUAGGCUGCUAGAUUCCAUUGUCAUUGGUCCUGAAAGAACUAUGGAGCCAACUGUGCUCACAACUGCACUACCACAUGAUACUACUGGAGGAGUGUCCUUGAAACUACAAACUGCCAUAAAUAUAGUUUCUUGGAGUCAUGGGUCCAUUCCUGUUCUGAUCUGCAAACUGGACAGUGACGCCGCUGUAAAGGCUUGCUUGACUGGGGAAUUGGAAGAAGGUGAAGGCACAAAACUUUCUUUUGUGGAUACGUGAAGUUUUUUGUAAAGGAACCGUGAAUCGUGUGCAGAAGAAUUUCUGGGAGAUUCAUAAAUUUUGUUUCAUAUAUCUGUGUAUUUGGUUUCUGUUAUUUUAUGCACCUCACAAAUUCAAAUCGUAACAUUUUAACACCUUGCAAAACAAUGACAUUUUUAAUAUCAGCAUACACGCAAUAUAUUCACUUCACAUUUAUAGCUUCCUUAUUCUCAUAAGGUCAUCUUGGUGGUUGAUUAUUGUUUUCAUUACUAGAGUGCCUGGAAAAAAAUCACAGGAAAAAACCCUGUAUUUUCUUCAACUAAGAAGAAAUUCUACAUUAAUUUUUCUAUGAAAGAAGACAAAUAAAGAAGGGCCUUUGUCAAGCUUGAGUGGACCCACAUUACAGCAAGAUUGAUAGCUGUUUCCUUCUUCUGCCUAUUUCUCUGUCCAGUGGGAUGAUUAAGCAUAAAAGUUUCAAGUGCCUUAGCAGGUAGCAACACCUAGUUAAUCUUAUCUCAUUUGGGAAACUGAGUGGCUUGGUUAUAGAAGUAAUUUAACAUUGCCUCCUCCUAGAAUGCUUCUAGAAGGAGGCAAUAUUUAAUUACUUCUAACACAUAGAUGCAGUUGUCAGAAAUAAAGCUCAACUAGAGAAUAUCUUUUCUUCCAAAUUAAGAUUGAUUUUAUAUAUGCAUUCAAGUAGUUUGCUUGUCGACAGGAAGGGUAUUUUUCCAUUAUCUCUUUCUGGGAAGCUUUUCCCCAAUUCCCCAGGAUAUUCUAAAUCUCUUGAGUCCUAUUAAGAUUUCUUGUUCAAGCAUUCAACAUGGCUUAGCUGAGGAAAUGAACCAAGCGUGGCCACAUGCUGUCACCUUUUCAAACAACAUGGAACAUUUCUGAGAUCAUUCUAAACCUGUGUUGUAGGGAAAAAAUAGUUACAUUGCUAAACUAUGAGUAUUAAUGUUUAUUUGUGUGCUGUAUGAUUAAAAAGUAGGAAUACAGAUCCAGGUGAACGUCAACAACAGAUUUUUAGGACAGUACUCAGUGUAGUUCAUGUAGCAUGAGCAAAACUAUGUCUUGAAAUCAAUACACUUUAUUGUUAAUGUAUAUCAAUUUAUUAUAUGCAGGCAGAGUGUAUGCUAUGUAGACAGUGACCUUAACUGAGAAGGAAGAUCUGUUACCAAAGCAAUGAACAGAUAAACAUGGCCUAAGACCAAUCAAAGGCAGAAGUUUAUGAAAGUGUCUCAGACAGGCACCCCAUGAUUCUUCAGAAGGUAAAAAAGGAACGAGGUAGGUAUUUUCCAUCACAACUUAACAACUACAAUAGGGACCAAAAGUUCCAGUGCUAAGGUUAAGUGAGUUGCAUCUGAUUUUAGAACUUCCUUGCUGCAGUUGCUAAGCGAAUUACUGCAGUAGUGAAGUGAAUCACGUGAUUGUUAAGUAUAUUCAGCUUUUUCCAUUGACUUUGCUUGUCAGAAUCCAGCUGGGAUGGUGGCAGAUGGCGAUGACAUGAUCCUGGAAUGCUGCAACAAUUGUAAAAAUAUGCCAGUUUCCAAGUGCCUGGAUUUUGAUCACAUGACGGGCUGCAGCAAUGGUUGUAAAUCACUUCUUACAAUGUCUUUGUAACAUCAAAUGAUUGCCAAACAAAUGGUUGUAAAUUGAGGACUACCUUUAGCUACAAAUGAAGGCUAGUGCCCUGGUUCCUGCCCUGUGUUUGUGUGCACCUGCUGAAAUGCAGAAAAAGACCCAGAAGCCAGUGGAGCAUCUAGUGGUGACCAAUGUUCUUCUGUGAGCAGUCAAAUUACAUCCUUCUCAAGUCAAAAUGGAAUGUGCAAACUUGUAAAACUUGCAUUCUAUAAAUUUCCUUUACAGUCUCAUUUAAAAUAAGUCCUUUAAGAUCGCAAUUAUUAAAAGGUUAAGGAAA